CACGGAGUUAGCCGGAGCUUACAAACAGUACCGUCAUCAUAAGAGAUGUUAGCUCUUACUUAUUCUUCCCGUUCUUGCGAAGUUUACAUCCCGAAGGAUUUCAUCCUUCACGCGGCGUUGCUGGGUCAGGCUUUCGCCCAUUGCCCAAAAUUCCCGA
rnacentral:rRNA from 1 species